UAUGGAGCGUUGAAGAGGAACAGUAAUUUCGUUUGUCAGGCCUAGAGAGCCGGUGAUUUAUGGUGGAAGCCGGACCUGCAGCGAAAUGAAGCUCGCCUUGGAGCUGUGCGAUUAACGAAAGCGAUGUUUACGAAACAUCGUUUACGCGAAAAUCACCGUUUGGCCCGCGAUAAGGGCGACAAGUGAGCGAUCGGCAAAGCAUGUCUUUCGCUAACUAGGGUGGUACCACGGGAGAACAACCUCUCGUCCCUAGC
rnacentral:ncRNA from 1 species